AUGAGACAUUUGGGCAUUGAAUGCGGGAAGAAUAAGGAGGGAGGCUUGGGCAGCUCUCUUUGGGGAGAUCCCGUGUUCCAGAACAUCCCGACUGCACCUGCCGGUGAUGGCUCCCCAGGGCUGCCGAGCUCCGUCGCACUGGAGGGAGGGUCACAUCCAAUCUGUGUGCUUCAUGACCCCCUCUUUGUUGCCCUGUAUUUGCCUCCACUACAGACUCUGAGUUCGUUGGCCCACAGUUUCAGGGCUGCUGAAACAGGCCAAGUUGGACUGGGAGCACCCAGUUGCUUUUUGGAUGAUCGCUGGCGUCCUUUUCCUUUGAUUUCUUUGAUACUCCUCACCCUGGCGCUGGGCGUCGCGCUUCCCGGGUUCUUAGUUAAUUGGAGGAUUUUCGUUUUCUCCGAGGUGGUUGACCUUUCCGCCAGCCCUGCUGAUGACCAGCAAUUAUUAACCAAUGUCGCAGAAUGGGGAUGGGGAACGGGAACAAGUACCUGGACCCAUUUUGCGGAAAGGACCCCAACGUGCAGCAUGUUCCAGUGGCUCGUCUCGCCACAGGAAGCUAAUACACAGCCGCCAGGUUCUUGCCUGGAAGCCACCCAAUGCAGUAAGAGACCCACUCGUCCACAGAAGUAGAUUUCGAAGGAUCAUCUGCCCUGCAGCUGUCAAAGAACUGAACUUGAGGUGGAGUCAGCCUCGAGGCCUUCCUCAGAAGGCGUUGGAGGGCUUGCCGUCCUGCAGAGUCAUGUCCUCAGGGAGGUCCUCUCUUCAUUCCAGUUUCUGGGGCUGGAUGCCGGCGUCUUCCAGCACCGGCCACAGAGCGUCGUGCACCUGAAGACAAGAAUCAGAGGGAGUUUUCCUCCGCCUCCUGCUUCAGGCGCUGCCACUUGCGCUGCGCUUCUGGGGCUAAACGCCGGCUUUCUGGCGCGUGACCUACACCUCGGAACCAUUGACCAUGGAGCUGAGGGGAGAUGCGUACAGUGUGUCCUGAGUCAUGUGAGCGAGUUCCAGCGCACCACUGCAUCUGACCUUGAAGUCCAAGUUCAUCCGUGGUGCACCAUGUGGCCACCCUGGAAAAAAGCAAGCAGACCUCUCUAAGGAACUCCACUGCCUAGAUACCACGUACCCAUAAUCCUUGGUAUACUUGGCCUUGGCUGAUACCUCCAUCCCCCAGAACCAUUUGGGUUUGCAUCAGACCUUUUGGAUUACAGAAUUUUUCUCCUAAGACGAUCAUUCUUAUUUGACUUGACAGAAAAAGUUGUUUUCCGAGGAGUCUUCUCUCCAUGUUACCCUUUGAGAUGACUGCCUGGAUGGCACAGGUGCUGUGCUUGGCCUGUGAACCAAGAAGAUGUGUUCUGCCCUACAGAAGCUGGUGACCCAGAGGAAGAAGAGACAAGUAAGUGAGAAAUUUUAAGAAUUACCAAGGAAUACUGCACGUGGGAUUAAAUAGUGUGCUACAGGAGCAUACAAAUAGGAGAAAUGGCCGCUGGAAGAGGGAAAACACUUCUGGAGGUAAAGCCAUCUGAGCUACAACAGGAAGCUGUACCAGACGCCCACCAUGUCACGGGCACUGAUUAGGCUCUGGACAUGUAAGGGUGAACAGAGCCUGGUCUGAAGGAUGAGGUAGAGUGUAGUCCGACAAGGGAUAGAGAGAAUGACCUGAGCUAUUUCAGUAGGUUGGUGACGUUCAGUGGGGUGUGUGGGCCAUCGUGGUGGACAUGAUGUCUGGGCCGUUGAUUGUGGGCAAGUGCAUGGCAGUUUGGGGAUGUUCUGAGAGGGAACAGCAUCAGCAAGGCCGUUGGGAAAAAGUGGACCUCCAGUGCGGGUGUGUAUACUUCAGUGUGAUGGGAGUGCUUAGCUUGGAGCUGGGGGCAGUGGUAUAUGAGAAAUGCUUAGUGUGGCAAUUGUGGUGAGCCAGAUAGUUUUGGUGAAUCACCAGGCGAUUUGAUCACAUUGUGCUCAUUAAGGAUCACCCCAACAGCAGGAUGGUGAAAGGACUUGAAACCCACUUUGGCAUCAUUGAUACCCCAGGGGUGCCCGCACGCCUCAUGCUCUCUUCUCUCCGCCAGUGUUCCGGGAAGGGAGCAACACGGAUUCAAAACCCAGAGAGGGAGCACUGGGAGCAGAACGACCUGUUACCCGGUUUCCCCUGUAGACAGAGGGCUUUGGUGCGGAUUUAUCCGUCCGCAUUUAGGACCGAUGAUAGAAUCAUUGCUUUGUUUUAUCCCUUCCAUGACACAAACCAAGAAAAAAAAAAA
rnacentral:lncRNA from 1 species